rnacentral:rRNA from 1 species
AUAGCGUAUAUUAAAGUUGUUGUGGUUAAAAAGCUCGUAGUUGAACCUUGGGCCUGGCCGUCCGGUCCGCCUCACCGCGUGCACUGGCACGGCUGGGCCUUCCCACCGCGGAAUCGCAUGCCCUUUACUGGGUGUGUCGGGGAAGCGGUACUUUUACCGUGAAAAAAUUAGAGUGCUCUAAGCAGGCCUAUGCUCGAAUACAUUAGCAUGGAAUAAUGGAAUAGGACAGGCGUUCUAUUUUGUUGGUUUCUAGGACGUCUGUAAUGAUUAACAGGAACAACCGGGGGCGUCAGUAUUGCAUCGUCAGAGGUGAAAUUCUUAGAUCGAUGCAAGACUAACUACUG